rnacentral:rRNA from 1 species
UGGCGUCAGGACGGACGGCUGGCGGCGUGCCUAACACAUGCAAGUCGAGCGGAGAUAUGGAAGAGCUUGCUCAGAAGAUAUUCAGCGGCGGACGGGUGAGUAACGCGUGAGCAACCUGCCUUCAACAGGGGGAUAACGCAUCGAAAGAUGUGCUAAUACCGCGUAAGACCACGAGGUCACAUGGCCAUGAGGUCAAAGGAGCAAUCCGGUUGGAGAUGGGCUCGCGUCCGAUUAGCUAGUUGGUGUGAUAACAGCGCACCAAGGCGACGAUCGGUAGCCGACCUGAGAGGGUGAUCGGCCACAUUGGAACUGAGAAACGGUCCAGACUCCUACGGGAGGCAGCAGUGGGGAAUAUUGGGCAAUGGGCGAAAGCCCUGACCCAGCAACGCCGCGUGAGGGAAGAAGGGUUUCGGCUCGUAAACCUCUGUCCUGAAGGGCGAAGGAGUGACGGUACUUCAGGAGGAAGCCCCGGCUAACUACGUGCCAGCCGCUGC